UACGUAGGGGGCGAGCGUUGUCCGGAAUCAUUGGGCGUAAAGCGUGUGUAGGCGGAUUGGUAAGUACCUUGUGAAAUCCCACGGCUCAACCGUGGAACUGCUCGGUAUACUGCCUGUCUUGUGCAACCUAGGGGCGAGCGGAACAGAUGGUGGAGCGGUGAAAUGCGUAGAUAUCAUCUGGAACGCCAAUGGUGAAAACAGCUCGCUGGGGGUUUGCAGACGCUGAGACACGAAAGCCAGGGGAGCGAACGGG
rnacentral:rRNA from 1 species